rnacentral:rRNA from 1 species
CGGGGUGCAGCAGGCGCGAAAACUCUACAAUGCAGGCAACUGCGAUAGGGGAACAUCGAGUGGUCCUCAUAUUGGGGGUCUGUCCCACCGUCUAAAAAACGGUGGUUAGCAAGGGCCGGGCAAGACCGGUGCCAGCCGCCGCGGUAAUACCGGCGGCUCGAGUGGUGGCCGAUAUUAUUGAGUCUAAAGGGUCCGUAGCCGGCUUUGCAAGUCUCUCGGGAAAUCCAGCGGCUUAACCGUUGGUCGUCCGGGGGGUACUACAUUGCUUGGGACUGGGAGAGGUAGGAGGUACUCAGGGGGUAGGAGUGAAAUCCUGUAAUCCUCUGGGGACCACCGGUGGCGAAGGCGUCCUACCAGAACAGGUCCGACGGUGAGGGACGAAAGCUAGGGGCACGAACCGGAUUAGAUACCCGGGUAGUCCUAGCCGUAAACGAUGCUCGCUAGGUGUCACAACAGUCGUGAACUGUUGUGGUGCCGUAGGGAAGCCGUGAAGCGAGCCACUUGGGAAGUACGACCGCAAGGUUAAACUUAAAGGAAUUGGCGGGGGAGCACAAGG